UACGUAGGGUGCAAGCGUUGUCCGGAAUUAUUGGGCGUAAAGAGCUCGUAGGCGGUCUGUCGCGUCGGCUGUGAAAUCCCGAGGCUCAACCUCGGGUCUGCAGUCGAUACGGGCAAACUAGAGUAUUGCAGGGGAGACUGGAAUUCCUGGUGUAGCGGUGAAAUGCGCAGAUAUCAGGAGGAACACCGGUGGCGAAGGCGGGUCUCUGGGCAAUAACUGACGCUGAGGAGCGAAAGCGUGGGGGAGCGAACAGGA
rnacentral:rRNA from 1 species